UAACCUCCAUAUUUCUGCAAGAGACUAUUUCUCUUAUGUUAAAAACAUUUACUAGUUACUCUAACACUCCCGUUCAACUGGUUGCCUAAUUGAUAACUGUGAAGUAAAGGUGAUACUGAAUGAAUGGAAGCUAAACAAGAAGUGGAGUUGGAUUGUUAGGUGUGAAAUGAAAGCUGAAAGAGCAAUAAUGGAGAAUUGGGGUUGAAAUGACAAGCAUUAUUCAAAAAAGUUUGAUUCCAUAUGGCAGAAAG
rnacentral:lncRNA from 1 species